AGUGAACGCUGGCGGUAGGCCUAACACAUGCAAGUCGAACGGCAGCACAGUAAGAGCUUGCUCUUACGGGUGGCGAGUGGCGGACGGGUGAGGAAUACAUCGGAAUCUACUUUUUCGUGGGGGAUAACGUAGGGAAACUUACGCUAAUACCGCAUACGACCUACGGGUGAAAGCAGGGGAUCUUCGGACCUUGCGCGAUUGAAUUAGCCGAUGUCGGAUUAGCUAGUUGGCGGGGUAAAGGCCCACCAAGGCGACGAUCCGUAGCUGGUCUGUGAGGAUGAUCAGCCACACUGGAACUGAGACACGGUCCAGACUCCUACGGGAGGCAGCAGUGGGGAAUAUUGGACAAUGGGGGGAAGCCUGAUCCAGCCAUACCGCGUGGGUGAAGAAGGCCUUCGGGUUGUAAAGCCCUUUUGUUGGGAAAGAAAAGCAGCAGGUUAAUACCCCGCUGUUCUGACGGUACCCAAAGAAUAAGCACCGGCUAACUUCGUG
rnacentral:rRNA from 1 species